rnacentral:lncRNA from 1 species
CUUCUUCUUGGUCAAACUUCCCAUUUCUGGUAAGUUCUUUGCUUUCUUGUGGACUUUUUGGUCAUGAGGUUCCUUGUUGGUCAAACUUUCCAUUUUUGGCAAGUCUGGUGUAUCUACUACCAUUGCAGCCCCCUUUUCACCAUCACCACCACUAUUGCUUCCAACAACCAACUCACCUCUACCAUUUUCCUGUAAACUUAUACAAUUAAAAAUGAGAAAAGAACAAACUAAUAAACUCCAUACAAAAAAUGAGAAAUUUUUACCUUCAAAGUUUCACCCUUAUCUGUUUUACUUUCAGCAUUUCCAAGAUUCACAUUCGGGACACUAAAAUCUCCAUUUUUGGAGUUGACUGAGCUUUCUGAACUUUUUGGAACCAAAUCUUCUUUCUUUGCUUUUUGUUCUGUUGCACCUGUAACUGAAGAUCCAUUACUUAAAAUGACAUUCAUUUGGGUCUCUUUUUGUACAAUUGAGGAUAUUUGGGUCUCUUUUGGUACAUUCAGGGGUAUUGGGGUGUCUUUUGGUACAACACUGGAACCAUUUCUCAUUGGAAUCUUUUGGGUCUCUUUUGAUACAUUGAGGCCAUUACUCAUUGGAAUCUUUUGGGUUUCUUUUGAUACACUGAGGCCAUUAUUCAUUGGAAUCUUUUCUUUCUGAUGAACAACAUCUGUAGUUUUCUUUGAUGGAAAACUCUUUUGAUCACGGAAAUAAAACAACAUGUAGGCUUUCUGCUCAAAAACCUUCUUUUCACUCACUUGAUAUACACGAUUGUCAUCAAGUGAAUACCACAUGCCACUAGAUGUCCUAACAAAGCAAUAAUAGUGCCCAGAAUGU